rnacentral:rRNA from 1 species
AACACAUGCAAGUCGAGCGCACUCUUCGGAGUGAGCGGCGGACGGGUUAGUAACGCGUGGGAACAUACCCUUCUCUACGGAAUAGCCUCGGGAAACUGAGAGUAAUACCGUAUACGCCCUUCGGGGGAAAGAUUUAUCGGAGAUGGAUUGGCCCGCGUUAGAUUAUAUAGUUGGUGGGGUAAUGGCCUACCAAGUCUACGAUCUAUGGCUGGUUUGAGAGGAUGAUCAGCAACACUGGGACUGAAACACGGCCCACACUCCUACGGGAGGCAGCAGUGGGGAAUCUUAGACAAUGGGCGCAAGCCUGAUCUAGCCGUGCCGCGUGAGUGACGAAGGCCUUAGGGUCGUAAAGCUCUUUCGCCAGAAAUGAUAAUGACAUUAUCUGGUAAAGAAACCCCGGCUAACUCCGUGCCAGCAGCCGCGGUAAUACGGAGGGGGUUAGCGUUGUUCGGAAUUACUGGGCGUAAAGCGUACGUAGGCGGAUUGGAAAGUAUGGGGUGAAAUCCCAGGGCUCAACCCUGGAACUGCCCUGUAAACUAUCAGUCUAGAGUUCGAGAGAGGUGAGUGGAAUUCCAAGUGUAAAGGUGAAAUUCUUAGAUAUUUGGAGGAACACCAGUGGCGAAUGCGGCUCACUGACUCGAUACUGACGCUGAGGUACGAAAGUGUGGGGAGCAAACAUGAUUAGAUACCCUGGUAGUCCACACCGUAAACGAUGAAUGCCAGACGUCAGGAGGCUUGCCCUUCGGUGUCACACCUAACGGAGUAUGCAUUCCGCCUGGGAGUACAGUCGCUAGAUGAAACUCAACGCACUGACGGCGCCCCGCACGAGCACUGCAGCAUGUGUAUACUCGAGCAUCGCCAGAGCUGACCACCCGUGACAUCUGCGACGACUGAGAGAUCUGCUACACUCAGUGACGAUUGACAUGUGCUGACAUGUCUGUCAU